UUGCCUGAGGCGGGCGGAGGCCGACCUGGGGCCCUCCACCCGAGGGAGUAGGCUGGGGGUGGGCCUGGGUGGGGGCCAGGGCAGGUGCGAGGGAGCAAGGCAGGCGGCCGGCGGCCGGCGCGGGUACCCUGGGCGCUGGCCCGGCCCGCCAGACCGAUGUGGCGAGCCCGGGCGGGAGGAGGACCCCGGCUGCCCAACUUCGCCCCUCACUCGGGGGUCCGAGCGGGCCUUUCUCUUGAAGCGCCCCGGCCCGGCCUGCCCGCCACAGCUCGCCCCUGUGACGCCCGGACCCGCUCUGCCCUGCGCGGGGGCUGGCACUUGGCCUCCCCUUGUGGUCCUCAGGAGAGAGGGGUCGCGGUUUUCCUCCUUUUGGGUCCUGCAGAGAUCAGGGUUGUGGUUUUUCUUGCAGCUCCCUUUGGCCGGGCCCUUCGCCGGAUGCUGGGGGUCCCGAGAACGACGGCUCACGUCCCAGGGGUGGUCGCUAGUGGACUGUCCCGCGCUGAGCUCGGCGGAGGCAAUUUGGCGCCUCUUGUCAUUCUCUGGGCAACACCCCCGCUGCCCUCCCCUUUGUUCUCGCGGGUGUUGGAACUUGUAGCGACCUUUCACAUCCAGGAGUUGAUUCAUUUCAAAAACGGUAUUCAUACUGUAUUUUCCAGGCCAAUAAAUGGUCGUUGAACCUAGCACUCUAGAAGGCGUGUGGGCUACAACUCUACUCUCGAGGGAGCUUCUAGUCUUAGUUGUCACCCAACGAUGCAACGCACAAUCCAAUUUUAAGUAAUUAAAUUGGGUAAUUCCAGAAUUGGU